rnacentral:lncRNA from 1 species
CAAAUAAAUUCAAGACUCUCAUAAUUAGACAUUUUAAAUUUUAGUUGUAUUGUAAAUUUAAUUGUUUAAACUUUGUAGACAAACUUUUGCAUCUUGGGCCAAUUUUGGAAAAAUAUUGUUGGGCCCAAUUUUAUUUGACACUUGGCAACCCUAGGGUUGGGUAGACCCCACCCUAAUUUUUGAGGCACGUGGCCUUAACAAAGAGGAAGGAGCCGUCACUUAUUUUUGGGGGAGAAUCAUUCUCGGCAUUUGGAGGGAAGCAAGGGUGCCACCAACCUUCGUACUACAUUUCUUUGGCUUUGAAUGAGUGAAAAAUGGAUAAGUGCCGAGAGUUGGUGAUGGCUGGAACGGUGCAGAGGGAAGCACAUUUUCUUCUUUGAUUAUUCUUUGUGUUACGUUGUUCAUGCCCUUUCAUUUUAUUGAAUUUUAAUUCCAGCUUCCAUUGUCCCAUCAUGAGUCCUACAACAUUUCUAGUUUUUUUUUUAAGACCGAAUUUGACUCCCUUUAUUUAGUAUUAGGUAGCAGCUGCAACGCUUGCCUAUUGCCUUUGAACGUUUGGGUUAUUACUACUUGUGCCUAACAACUUGUUCAAUUAAAAUUUACUUUUGCUGAUUCAUAAUUGUAAGAAGCACACAGGUUAAUUUUUCUUUGAAAAGGUGUGCAUAGUGAUUUAUUGCUUUGGGUGCUGAUUCACGCUGCAUUAUUUUACCAAUUUCCAUUCAUUUCCUUGCCUUUAAAAAAUGUGGUGCAGAGGUGGCC